rnacentral:rRNA from 1 species
GCAAACAGGAUUAGAUACCCUGUAGUCCACCCGUAAACGAUGAAUCCAGCCGUUAGUGGGUUUACUCACUAGUGGCGCAGCUAACGCUUUAAGCAUUCCGCCUGGGGAGUACGGUCGCAAGAUUAAAACUCAAAGGAAUUGACGGGGGGCCCGCACAAGCGGUGGAGCAUGUGGUUUAAUUGACGCAACGCGCAGAACCUUACCAGCCCUUGACAUCCCGGUCGCGGACUCCAGAGACGGAGUUCUUCAGUUCGGCUGGACCGGAGACAGGUGCUGCAUGGCUGUCGUCAGCUCGUGUCGUGAGAUGUUGGGUUAAGUCCCGCAACGAGCGCAACCCCCGUCCUUAGUUGCUACCAUUUAGUUGAGCACUCUAAGGAGACUGCCGGUGAUAAGCCGCGAGGAAGGUGGGGAUGACGUCAAGUCCUCAUGGCCCUUACGGGCUGGGCUACACACGUGCUACAUUGGCGGUGACAAUGGGAUGCUAAGGGGCGACCCUUCGCAAAUCUCAAAAAGCCGUCUCAGUUCGGAUUGGGCUCUGCAACUCGAGCCCAUGAAGUUGGAAUCGCUAGUAAUCGUGGAUCAGCACGCCACGGGAAACGUUUCCCGGGCCUGACACACCGCCCGUCACAC